AUUAGCUUAGUUAGGUAAAAAACACCACACGGUCCUUGGUUAACUCAUAACUUAGCUUAUCUUCCUCCUAAAUGACAUAAUAAGCUCAAAAUAAGAAAAGGUUUGUAAUCAUCGUCUUCUUCUAUUUCUUCUUAUUCUUCUUCUUCUCCUCCUCCUCCUCCCCCUCCCCAUCCUCCUUCUUCUUCUCCUUCUUCUUCUGCUUCUUCUUCUCCUUCUUCUUCUCCUCUUUUUUCUUCUCCUUAGCUUAUUUUCCCCAAGAAAGACAUACUUAGCUAAUUAUCCUCCAAAAUUAAAUAAUUAGCUAAUUUAAUUCAUUUAUGACAUAAUUAGAUAAUUUAGGUAAAAAACAACACAAGAACCUUGGUUAGCUCAUAACUUAGCGUACCUUCCUAUUAAAUGACAUAAUAAGAAAAGUAUUGUAAUCAUCCUCUUCCUCUUCUUAUCCUUCUUAUUCUUCUUCUUGUUCUUCUUCUCCUCCUCCUUCUUGUCCUUCUCCUCCUCCUCCUCCUUCUCCUUAUCUCCUUCUUCUUCUCCUUCUCCUCCUCCUCCUCCACCUCCUUCUUCUUCUUCCUCUUCUUCUUAUUUUUCUCCUUCUUCUUCCCCUCUUUCUUCUCCUCUUUCUUCUUCUCCUUAUAUUUUUUCCCCAAAAAAGACACACUUAGAUAAUUAUCCUCCAAAAUGACAUAAUAAGCUUAUUUAUUUCAUUUAUGACAUAAUUAGCGUUGUUAGGUAAAAAAACAUCACAAGAACCCUUGUUAUCUCAUAACUU
rnacentral:lncRNA from 1 species